UAUUACUACUAGGGAUGCACCGAUAGGAUUUUUUGGGGCCGAUGCCAAUUUUAACAAACAAUUAUUGGUCGAUUCCGAUUCCGAUAUUUGUCACUUGAUCUCUUAUUUGAAAUUUUGUCAUCAAAAUAGAUAGUAUUUUGAUCAUGUUUUAAAUCAGCAAAGUUCAAAAACACCUGCAUUAAAUUAUACUAGCAGGUUUAUUGCUGCUGCAUCAUCAAAUAAUUUCUAAUUAACAUGGAUUGGAUCAUUCAUAACAUUCAUAACAUAAAAUAAACGGUGCUUUUUAGGUAGGUUUAACAGUUUUCAGGUACAGAAAUAAAGUAAACAAAUGUAAAAUAAUACUGCAUAUUCUUCACUGUAUAAAUUAAAUACAUAUUUAUCCUUCCUUAUUUACUUUAUUAUGAUUAAUCUUCUAAUUUGUUUUUGCAUACAUUUUAAUACUUUUUGUAAGUUUAAAUAUGUGUAAGAUCUCCUUUACUGAGGCGGGACUCUUAUUUUGACGGGUGUUCUAGACUACUGAGUGAAACGGGUAAUGGAGAGCACGCAGUUCUUCAGAGAUAUUUUGCAGAUUUAAAGUUUGCCAGUUUAUUAAGCACCGCCAGAAAAGGCAUAAGAUGACUUCUGUUGGAAUGGAUCUACAGUGAUGACUGUUUGUAGCGCUCAACUCCAGUCCUGGGGACUCACAGUGCUGCACAUUUUGUUUCUCUCUCUUAUUUGAUAGACCUAGUUUCCUAGUAUCUGAAACGUAUUCCAUCAUUCAUCAUGUUCUGGCCUGAAAUCACAAUAUGUCAAGAAAAACUUUUAAAUUAAAUUAUUUAGAUAUUACAUAUAAUUUGUUAGAUUUGUUGGUGUAUUUAAAAAAGAAAGUCUGUAACUUCUUUUUAAUACUUAAUUAGAAGCAUCACAACUACUAAAAUGUGUUGUCUGUUACAUAGGAACAACUGAACAGACAUUUAAAAGUGCAACGCAUUGAAAAUAUGUUAAGAAAGCUCUGUAUAUACUUUACUAGCAAUUUUACACCACUGUGAUGUAAGUGUGUCCUAUUGAAUGAUCAAAAGUUCUACACACACUUGCGAUCUUCACUCCCACUUGAACACUUGGGCCAAAUACAGGAAAUACAUGAUGUAAGUAAAUACAUCAGGCUUAAGUAUUUGUUUUGGGACAGGCCCUAUUUUUGCACGUCACCUUCUUGUGAUGUCUGGUUGAAUUUGAGUAAGUCACCUAAACUGAUGUUAUUCAUUUGCUUAAACAGCCACUGCAAAAAUAAGAUGUUCUUACCGCUUACAGCUUAGAAUGUGUCGGGUGAUUGGCCAUGACCUCUUUUAACUCAGGGCGUAGAAUGUCUUUUUCUGUCUGUUUGAGAACACAAAAAGGGUAAUUAGUAUAAUUCUUAGUUUUAAAUAAUUAAGGUCUGAUUGCAAACAAUUCUGCAGAAAUUAUAAAGCAAGUCACAAUGUGUCAACUUCAUCUUUUACAGAGUAUUGAUAGUAUAAGUAUUGAAGGGAGGAAUGGAGCUUUUCAAAACUCCUUUUAUAAAAAAAUUCAAAUGAAUGAUUUACAAAAUGAUUGUUUCAAAGAGAAACGCCACAUGCUGAUGACACCUACUGGUCACAAUGGUGUAAAUGUUAUAAGAAUGCAGUGUAAACACGUAAUGACACUUUUUACAAAUCGAUUGCAAAUGUAAUGAACAAAUUAAAUACCAUUAAAUAUGAA